rnacentral:tRNA from 1 species
GGAGAUGGCUCAGGGGUUAAGAGCCCUGGUUGCUCUUCUAGGGACCCUAGGUUCAAUUCCUAGCAUCCCCA